GAUGAACGCUGGCGGCGUGCCUAAUACAUGCAAGUCGAGCGAACGGACGAGAAGCUUGCUUCUCUGAUGUUAGCGGCGGACGGGUGAGUAACACGUGGAUAACCUACCUAUAAGACUGGGAUAACUUCGGGAAACCGGAGCUAAUACCGGAUGAUAUUUUGAACCGCAUGGUUCAAAAGUGAAAGACGGUCUUGCUGUCACUUAUAGAUGGAUCCGCGCUGCAUUAGCUAGUUGGUAAGGUAACGGCUUACCAAGGCAACGAUGCAUAGCCGACCUGAGAGGGUGAUCGGCCACACUGGAACUGUGACACGGUCCAGACUCCUACGGGAGGCAGCAGUAGGGAAUCUUCCGCAAUGGGCGAAAGCCUGACGGAGCAACGCCGCGUGAGUGAUGAAGGUCUUCGGAUCGUAAAACUCUGUUAUUAGGGAAGAACAUACGUGUAAGUAACUGUGCACAUCUUGACGGUACCUAAUCAGAAAGCCACGGCUAACUACGUG
rnacentral:rRNA from 1 species